GUGGGGAAUAUUGGACAAUGGGCGAAAGCCUGAUCCAGCCAUGCCGCGUGUGUGAAGAAGGUCUUCGGAUUGUAAAGCACUUUAAGUUGGGAGGAAGGGCAGUAAGUUAAUACCUUGCUGUUUUGACGUUACCGACAGAAUAAGCACCGGCUAACUUCGUGCCAGCAGCCGCGGUAAUACGAAGGGUGCAAGCGUUAAUCGGAAUUACUGGGCGUAAAGCGCGCGUAGGUGGUUUUGUAAGUUGGAGGUGAAAUCCCCGGGCUCAACCUGGGAACUGCCUCCAAAGCUGCAUGACUAGAGUACGGUAGAGGGUAGUGGAAUUUCCUGUGUAGCGGUGAAAUGCGUAGAUAUAGGAAGGAACACCAGUGGCGAAGGCGACUACCUGGACUGAUACUGACACUGAGGUGCGAAAGCGUGGGGAGCAAACAGGAUUAGAUACCCGAGUAGUC
rnacentral:rRNA from 1 species